GACGAACCUUGCUAACGUUAUUCGGAAUUACUGGGCUUAAAGGGUGCGUAGGCUGUGCGGAAAGUUGGGUGUGAAAUACCUCAGCUUAACUGAGGAACGGCGCCCAAAACUACCGUGCUUGAGGGAGACAGAGGUAAGCGGAACUUAGGGUGGAGCGGUGAAAUGCGUUGAUAUCCUAGGGAACACCGGUGGCGAAAGCGGCUUACUGGGUCUCAUCUGACGCUGAGGCACGAAAGCCAGGGUAGCGAACGGG
rnacentral:rRNA from 1 species